rnacentral:rRNA from 1 species
GAGUUUGAUUCUGGCUCAGGAUGAACGCUAGCGAUAGGCUUAACACAUGCAAGUCGAGGGGUAACAGGCGGUAGCAAUACUGUGCUGACGACCGGCGGAUGGGUGAGUAACGCGUAUGCAAUCUACCUUUUACCCGGGGAUAGCCCAUGGAAACGUGGAUUAAUACCCGAUGCAUUUCUUUUGUGGCCUCAUGAAGGGAAUAAAGAUUUAUCGGUAAGAGAUGAGCAUGCGUUCCAUUAGGAAGUUGGUAAGGUAACGGCUUACCAAUCCGAUGAUGGAUAGGGGUUCUGAGAGGAAGGUCCCCCACACUGGAAUUGAGAAACGGUCCAGACUCCUACGGGAGGCAGCAGUGAGGAAUAUUGGUCAAUGGUCGUAAGACUGAACCAGCCAAGUCGCGUGAAGGAAACUGCCCUAUGGGUUUUCAACUUCUUUUGUCAGGGAAGAAUAAGGAGGAUUCAAUUCUCCGAUGCCGGACCUGACGAAUAA